CCUCAGCAGAACAGGGUCAGUGCUGUAAAGCUCGGGUUUGGGGCGUCAGGGCGACCUGGAGGAUGACAGAGGGCCCUGCUAGUUGGCUGUGACUGCCCAGCACAGCGGCAGCUAAGCCCCAUCCCUGAAUUGAGGCGAAGAAUUCCCAUCUGGGGGCCCAAAGGGAAAUAGGAAAGUUGACUCGUCAGAGGAGACCUAGCUGCCAUUAUUUGCCUUCCAGUCGCUAUGUUCAUUGGUCAGCUGACAUCUUGACCAUGACAUUCUGAAAGGCUGAAUAGAUACUUAAAAUGGGCUAGAGAGAUGGC